rnacentral:rRNA from 1 species
GAGUUUGAUCCUGGCUCAGGAUGAACGCUAGCGGCAGGCCUAACACAUGCAAGUCGAGGGGCAGCACGAAUUAGCUUGCUAAUUUGGUGGCGACCGGCGCACGGGUGCGUAACGCGUAUGCAACCUACCUUAUACAGGGGUAUAGCCCGGAGAAAUUCGGAUUAAUCCCCCAUGGUACUGAGACACCGCAUGGUGAUUCAGUUAAAGCUUCGGCGGUAUAAGAUGGGCAUGCGUCCUAUUAGCUAGAUGGUAAGGUAACGGCUUACCAUGGCUACGAUAGGUAGGGGGCCUGAGAGGGUGGUCCCCCACACUGGUACUGAGACACGGACCAGACUCCUACGGGAGGCAGCAGUGAGGAAUAUUGGUCAAUGGGCGCAAGCCUGAACCAGCCAUGCCGCGUGCAGGAAGAAUGCCCUAUGGGUUGUAAACUGCUUUUAUUUGGGAAUAAACCUUUCUACGUGUAGGAAGCUGAAGGUACCAAAUGAAUAAGCACCGGCUAACUCCGUGCCAGCAGCCGCGGUAAUACGGAGGGUGCAAGCGUUAUCCGGAAUCAUUGGGUUUAAAGGGUCCGCAGGCGGAUUUAUAAGUCAGUGGUGAAAGCCUACAGCUUAACUGUAGAACUGCCAUUGAUACUGUAAGUCUUGAAUUCGGUCGAAGUGGGCGGAAUGUGUAUGUA